rnacentral:ncRNA from 2 species
UAGCAGGACUCUGGAGAGAGGCGCCGCCGAUAAGGCGGUGCACGCCGAAGGGAUAACAAUCUCAGGCGCAAGGACAGAGGGGGCUCA